rnacentral:lncRNA from 1 species
CAACCAUCACCAUUCAUUUAACUUAUUAAAAAUGUUAUAAAUUUUUUUGCUAUAAUUCUAAUUUCUCUUCGUUUUCAAUUUCAAAAUAAUUUAUCGAUGUCGAUUAUUCUUGUUUUGAGUAACACGGCAAGAAAAAGAAAGAGGAAAGGAUUUGGUGGGUGUAUUCAGGAAGGAGUGGGGGAGAUUAUUUUUUUUUUUGUUAUCGCCGGAGAAAUCGAUGGUGGAUGGCAAUGGCGGAGUGACAGAGAAGAAGACGAAGGAGAAAGGGC